UAAAAGACCACAACAUCUGAAUGAAAUGGAGCCUUUUAAAUGCUCCAUUAUGCUGACUUGCAGAGAUUCUUUCAUGGAGUCUGACAGCAGGAAUACAGCAGCUUGGAUUCUUACACUGGAAAAGGCCUUGGAAAGCUUUGGUGAUAAUUAAAUAGUUCCACUGUCAUUGGGAGGCAAGAACUGAUGGGGGAUCUC